rnacentral:pre_miRNA from 1 species
CCUGACCGUCACCCCGGCGCAGGCCGGGGCCGCUGUGUGUGGGGCAACCGGUUGCCAAUUUCGAAGCGGCCCCGGCCUGCGUCGGGGCGACGCCAGAA